rnacentral:rRNA from 1 species
GAUGAACGCUGGCGGCGUGCCUAAUACAUGCAAGUCGAGCGAAUGGAUUAAGAGCUUGCUCUUAUGAAGUUAGCGGCGGACGGGUGAGUAACACGUGGGUAACCUGCCCAUAAGACUGGGAUAACUCCGGGAAACCGGGGCUAAUACCGGAUAACAUUUAGAACCGCAUGGUUCGAAAUUGAAAGGCGGCUUCGGCUGUCACUUAUGGAUGGACCCGCGUCGCAUUAGCUAGUUGGUGAGGUAACGGCUCACCAAGGCAACGAUGCGUAGCCGACCGGAGAGGGUGAUCGGCCACACUGGGACUGAGACACGGCCCAGACUCCUACGGGAGGCAGCAGUAGGGAAUCUUCCGCAAUGGACGAAAGUCUGACGGAGCAACGCCGCGUGAGUGAUGAAGGCUUUCGGGUCGUAAAACUCUGUUGUUAGGGAAGAGCAAGUGCUAGUUGAAUAAGCUGACACCUUGACGGUACCUAACCAGAAAGCCACGGCUAACUACGUGCCAGCAGCCGCGGUAA